AUACGGAGGGUGCAAGCGUUACUCGGAAUCACUGGGCGUAAAGCGCGCGCAGGCGGCUAUUUAAGUUGGAUGUGAAAGCCUACGGCUCAACCGUAGAACUGCAUCCAAAACUAUUUAGCUAGAGUGUGGGAGAGGAAGAUGGAAUUAGUUGUGUAGGGGUAAAAUCCGUAGAGAUAACUAGGAACACCAAAAGCGAAGGCAAUCUUCUGGAACACUACUGACGCUGAGGCGCGAAAGCGUGGGGAGCAAACAGGAUUAGAAACCCUAGUAGUCC
rnacentral:rRNA from 1 species